UAGAAUUUCCUUGUAAAGCCUGUUUGAAGUGUUGUCAAAAAUCUUUCCAUCAAUACUGUUUAAAAGAUUAACAAGGGAUUAAAUUAACCUGUAGUUUGACCAACAAUUCAUUAGGAUAAUAUCAAAAUCACAAAACUGGAAACUCUCCCCCAUUAACGACCAGUAUGGGGGAAAGAUCGAGCACCUAAGAACUGCAGUUGUGGGCAGUAUAGCAACAAAGAACAAUACCAUACUGUCCUGCUAAUGUAACCAAGUGUUUAAAAUGGGGAGAUUAUAAAUUCAUUGCAAUUGCUUCACAGCUAAUAAUCAUUCUACAGAGACCUAUAGUUUGAUAUUCUUAACAGAUCAAGUAAGAUAACUUAACUGUAUCUAAUAUAGAUACAUAAUUCUGUGCCAGUGAAAGGGUGGCCUGGAGCUAAUGGGCUAUCAACAAGGGCACUAGAGAUGCCCUGGCCAAAGUGCAAUUUAGUGGUUAAAGCAAGAAUCUGGGAUUCAGAAUCCAGGGUUCUUUGCCUAGUCCUGCCACUGACUGGCUGUGUGACCUUAAGCAAGGCACUUAACCUCUCUGUUCCUUAGCCUUCCCCUCUAUUAACUAGAGAUAAUAAUAAUUUACUUACCACAAUGGGGUAAUUAUGAGGCCAAAUUCAAAGCCCUUUUUAAACACACUUUGGCAAUUCUCAGCUGCAAUGUGCUGUAUAAGCAGAUUUACCCACCUUGGAUUUGCAGUGUCUGUUCUUUGCUCUGUAUUGUGAGCUGACUCAUUCCUUACUGUUUUUCUUUUGUCACUUGGGGUGUGGAUAGACCCCAAUCCCAGGUGAUAAAAACUCCCUCACCCCAAGUCAGAGUAGAACCCUUUUAAGAGUCCUGCCCUCAAGAGCACUGAUGUUAACAGUGCAUGAAGAGCAAGCAAGACAAAUAGGUGGGAGAGAGUGAAUAAUUCCACGCCCCUGCAGGGAGCCUGCCUUUGACUGCCAGUUUUUCUACAGCUUGCAAUUUGGAACAGGUGCAGGUUCCUUAUGAGUUGCAAAAGCACAUGACUGCAGAGGGGGAGAGUAGUAAUUCCCAUCUGCUACUGCAAAGGAAGUCAGGGAGCUACCUGAGCUAUGCAAAAGCAGAAGAAAGGGAACCUCUACCAGGGAGUUGGAGGGAGGAGUGGUAUACAGGAAAAGCUGUUGUUUUGGAGGGUGUGUUACUGUCAAAAUCUAUGAAGCCUCUGGAGUGACUCAGAUGUUCCUGAUCAAGUACAAGGGUACUCAAGUCUAAGCUUUGAAUUCAGCCCUGGUGAAGCAGGUGCAUUGCGGAGGCAAAGGGUUAAGUGCCAUUAGUCACUAAAUUUAUUCACAGCUUUUGUAUCCUGAUAAAACAGACCUGCAACAAUCUACAGGAACAAGCUGAAAUGUACAAUCAAGACAUUUUGAUCAGGAAUGACUUUAAAAAAAAAAACAACCCAAAGAUACCAUCACUGAAUUUCAAAAGUUAAACUUGCCUUCAUGUUUCUGAAAUUCCUCUUCUGUGAAAUUGAUGUCUUUGUGUGACAGGUUUGUCAUCAGUUGUUUGUUCUCUUCCUGAAGCUGAGCAAUUUGGGUAAGAAGAUCCUGUGCUUCCCCUCUCCAUACAUCCUCCACCAGUUCUAAUUCCUAAAGUAAAGCCGGAUCAUGACAGAACAUUAAUGCUGUAAUAUAUAAAAUCAAUAGCCUUUGCCCAAAACUAUUUGGAGAAUACACUAGCAAUUCUCCUCUAAAGCUAUCCUUUUAUGAUAAUACUCUGAACUUCUAGCCAAGGACCUCAAUUAUUACUCCCCUUUCACAGACAGCCACGUAAUCUCUGUAUGGCUCAGUUGCCUUUCUCAAGGUCACAUCAGAAGUCCAUAUAAGAGGCACGAAUUGAGCCCAGGUCCCCUGAUUUCUAGGCAGCAGCCUUAAAGUGUAGUAUAAACACACAGCUCACAAGACUUGUGAGGUCAGUCAGUGGCAGAGAUGGACAUGCUAUUUUUUUAUUUUUUAAAGAGCACAAUGUUCCAUAACAGUACAGUUUAGAUUCGUGAUGGUGCUAUGUAUGAUACUGUAGAACAUAGAGGAGUUUUUCCAUGUUGGAACCCAGAGCUCCUGUUACCCAGGCUUGUUUUAACCAUUAGCUUAUGCUUGCUUUUUCUUAUUCUAAUAUACUGUAAUCACAUUUUGCAGUGUCAACUACACAGAGAACAGCAAAACUAUUCAAAAUAGUAACUACCUUUAUUCAGGCCACUUUGUGUCAAGUGCAGCUGUUACCAAUUCCAGGACAGGUCAAAUCAGGAUACUAAGUAUAAAGGCCUCCUGGAAUAGUGGAGACUAUAUUUAUAUCUUUAUUUUGAAAGCUUCAACCCAAAUAUCAGCAUUUCUCCCUGUGGGCAAUCUAUGCUCCACUUUAAUGUAUGUGCUGUGAUUAACAAGAAAGCCAUGCUCAGAACAUGGAAUCCUAGGCUGAGCUACUUGCUCAUUUUUCCACAUGUAAUUCUACGGGAGCGAGUUGUAACUAUGUGAAACUUCAAAAUCAAAGCACAGUUCUAACACAGAGCUACAGUUAACUUUGCUGAAAAUAAACCAUGAUAGAUAGGCUUGGCAGAAUUAAUUUUUUAAAUAAUUUUGAUGGAUAAUAUCAAUUUUUAAGCAAUUAUUUUAAAUUUUUAUAAAUGUUCACAGUUGUGCAAACUAUGGGUUUAAAAAAAAUCAGGAAAAAUGCUUCAGUUUUAAAUUUUCAAAGUUGUGGGAAGUUAUGGGAGGGAGUCAGAUAAGGGAGAGUUCAGACAAUAAUUAUUUAAUAACAGUAGACUUUGAGAUUCAAAAAGUUAGUUUUAUAACUGUUAAAAUACAAAUUGUCAACAACACAUGUCAAAAUAUAUAAAGUAAAUAUCCUUAAAUCAAACUCUAAGAAGUUCUCAACAAGCAUUUUCCUUCCUUUGCUUGUCUAUAAGUUUUGAUUAUUAUUGAUGGAAAUAUUUUUUGUCCGUUUGCGUGUGUGCCGUGAAACCAAUGUUUAUCAAUAAAAAUCAGAUCCUUCCAUCCCCUAAUGAUAGAUCUAAAUAAAAACUCUUUAUUACAAAAUUAGAA